CCACCCACCAUGACAGCUAAUCUUCUCAUUUUGGCAAAUUUCUUGUAUAGCGGCACUAAAAUUUCAUGCUGUUAAUCAUGAUGUUCCUGCUGCUGAUCAUUCAGAGAGUGAAAGAAAGAUGCAGCAACAAUACAGGAGCAAGAAUCCAGUGUGUAUGAAGUCAUGAGUGACCUCUGUCCUGCGGCAGUCUGAGUCUUCAUCUGAAAGUCCCAAUGA